rnacentral:piRNA from 1 species
UCCAAAACCCUGCUUGUUUCCUUCAUGAUU